GACGAACGCUGGCGGCGUGCUUAACACAUGCAAGUCGAGCGACGCAAUCCCUUCGGGGAGAAGACGGAGCGGCGAACGGGUGAGUAACACGUGGGCAACCUGCCCCUAGCUCUGGGACAACUCCGGGAAACCGGGGCUAAUACCGGAUACGACCUCGGAAGACAUCUUCUGAGGUGGAAAGUUUUUCGGCUAGGGAUGGGCCCGCGGCCUAUCAGCUUGUUGGUGGGGUAACGGCCCACCAAGGCGACGACGGGUAGCCGGCCUGAGAGGGCGACCGGCCACACUGGGACUGAGACACGGCGCAAGCGCCUACGGGAGGCAGCAGUGGGGAAUAUUACGCAAUGGGCGAAAGCCUGACGCAGCGACGCUGCGUGAGGGAUGAAGGCCUUCGGGUUGUAAACCUCUUUCAGCAGGGACGAAAACAGACGGUACCUGCAGAAGAAGCACCGGCCAACUACGUGCCAGCCGCCGCGGUAA
rnacentral:rRNA from 1 species